CAGUAGCCGCGGUAAUACGAAGGUCCCGAGCGUUGUUCGGAAUCACUGGGCGUAAAGGGAGCGUAGGCGGCGUGGUAAGUCAGAUGUGAAAUCCCGGGGCUCAACCCCGGAACUGCAUCCGAUACUGCCAUGCUAGAGGAUUGGAGAGGUAGCUGGAAUUCUUGGUGUAGCAGUGAAAUGCGUGGAGAUCAAGAGGAACACUCGUGGCGAAAGCGAGCUACUGGACAAUAACUGACGCUGAGGCUCGAAGGCCAGGGUAGCGAAAGGGAUUAGAUACCCCAGUAGUCCCUGUCUCUUAUAA
rnacentral:rRNA from 1 species